rnacentral:rRNA from 1 species
UACAGAGGUGGCAAGCGUUGUUCGGAAUUACUGGGCGUAAAGGGCGCGUAGGCGGCCUUCUAAGUCAGACGUGAAAUCCCCCGGCUUAACCUGGGAACUGCGUCUGAUACUGGGAGGCUUGAGUAUGGGAGAGGGAUGCGGAAUUCCAGGUGUAGCGGUGAAAUGCGUAGAUAUCAGGAGGAACACCGGUGGCGAAGGCGGGUCUCUGGGCCGAUACUGACGCUGAGGAGCGAAAGCGUGGGGAGCGAACAGG